rnacentral:rRNA from 1 species
GUUUUCGGAUGGAAACUAAAAUGACUGAGUGGCGGACGGGUGAGUAACGCGUGGAUAACCUACCUCAUACCGGGGGACAACAGUUAGAAAUGACUGCUAAUACCGCAUAAGCGCACAGUACCACAUGGUACAGUGUGAAAAACUCCGGUGGUAUGAGAUGGAUCCGCGUCUGAUUAGCUAGUUGGUGGGGUAAUGGCCCACCAAGGCGACGAUCAGUAGCCGACCUGAGAGGGUGACCGGCCACAUUGGGACUGAGACACGGCCCAAACUCCUACGGGAGGCAGCAGUGGGGAAUAUUGCACAAUGGGCGAAAGCCUGAUGCAGCGACGCCGCGUGAGCGAAGAAGUAUUUCGGUAUGUAAAGCUCUAUCAGCAGGGAAGAAAAUGACGGUACCUGACUAAGAAGCCCCGGCUAACUACGUGCCAGCAGCCGCGGUAAUACGUAGGGGGCAAGCGUUAUCCGGAUUUACUGGGUGUAAAGGGAGCGUAGACGGCAUAGUAAGUUUGAAGUGAAAACCUGUGGCUCAACCAUAGGACUGCUUUGAAAACUACUAAGCUAGAGUGUCGGAGAGGUAAGUGGAAUUCCUAGUGUAGCGGUGAAAUGCGUAGAUAUUAGGAGGAACACCAGUGGCGAAGGCGGCUUACUGGACGAUAACUGACGUUGAGGCUCGAAAGCGUGGGGAGCAAACAGGAUUAGAUACCCUGGUAGUCCACGCCGU